GAUGAACGCUAGCGGCAGGCUUAACACAUGCAAGUCGAGGGGUAUAGGUAGCUUGCUAUCUAGAGACCGGCGCACGGGUGCGUAACGCGUAUGCAAUCUACCUUUUACAGAGGGAUAACCCAGAGAAAUUUGGAUUAAUACCUCAUAGUAUAUAGACCUGGCAUCAGGAUUAUAUUAAAGUCACAACGGUAAAAGAUGAG
rnacentral:rRNA from 1 species